CUUCUCCCUCACCCUCGCCUCGAUCACCCGCUCCCAGAUCUUCAUGGUGUGACUUAUUAAUUUGAUACCCCUAUAGUUGUUGGAGCACUGGAUGUCCCCUUUGUUCUUGUACAAGGGCACCACUGUACUCCACCUCCACUCACCCAGCAUCCUUUUGGUCCUGAAGAUCGCAUUGAACAACCUGGAGAGCCACUCCACUCCUGACCUACCCAUGCACUUCCAACCGGUAUCUCGUCAGGCCCAGUCGCUCCACCCCUACUCAUCUUGCACAAAGCCCCCAUGACCUCCUCUGCCCUAAUGCGCCUGCAGUACCCAAGGUCUCUAUGUUGCUCUNNNN
rnacentral:lncRNA from 1 species